CCUUCGAUAGCUCAGCUGGUAGAGCGGAGGACUGUAGUUGGUAUAUGUUAGCAAUCCUUAGGUUGCUGGUUCAAUUCCGGCUCGAAGGA
rnacentral:tRNA from 1 species